rnacentral:rRNA from 1 species
CAUGCAGUCGAGGGGUAGAGAGAGCUUGCUUUCUUGAGACCGGCGCACGGGUGCGUAACGCGUAUGCAACCUACCUUCAUCUGGGGGAUAGCCCGGAGAAAUCCGGAUUAAUACCGCAUAAAAUCACAGAAUUGCAUAAUUCAAUGAUCAAACAUUUAUGGGAUGGAGAUGGGCAUGCGUGUCAUUAGCUAGUUGGCGGGGUAACGGCCCACCAAGGCGACGAUGACUAGGGGAUCUGAGAGGAUGACCCCCCACACUGGUACUGAGACACGGACCAGACUCCUACGGGAGGCAGCAGUAAGGAAUAUUGGUCAAUGGGGGCAACCCUGAACCAGCCAUGCCGCGUGCAGGAAGACUGCCCUAUGGGUUGUAAACUGCUUUUAUCUGGGAAUAAACCUACUUACGUGUAAGUAGCUGAAUGUACCAGAGGAAUAAGGAUCGGCUAACUCCGUGCCAGCAGCCGCGGUAAUACGGAGGAUCCAAGCGUUAUCCGGAUUUAUUGGGUUUAAAGGGUGCGUAGGCGGCCUGUUAAGUCAGGGGUGAAAGACGGUAGCUCAACUAUCGCAGUGCCCUUGAUACUGAUGGGCUUGAAUGGACUAGAGGUAGGCGGAAUGAGACAAGUAGCGGUGAAAUGCAUAGAUAUGUCUCAGAACACCGAUGCGAAGGCAGCUUACUAUGGUCUUAUUGACGCUGAGGCACGAAAGCGUGGGGAUCAAACAGGAUUAGAUACCCUGGUAGUCCACGCCCUAAACGAUGAACACUCGCUGUUGGCGAUACACAGUCAGCGGCUAAGCGAAAGCGUUAAGUGUUCCACCUGGGGGAGUACGCCCGCAAGGGUGAAACUCAAAGGAAUUGACGGGGGGCCCGCACAAGCGAGGAGCAUGUGGGUUUAAUUCGAUGAUACGCCG